UACAGAGGGUGCAAGCGUUGUUCGGAAUUAUUGGGCGUAAAGGGCGCGUAGGCGGUGCGGUAAGUCUGCUGUGAAAUCUCUGGGCUCAACUCAGAGUCUGCUGUAGAAACUGCCGUGCUUGAGUGUGGGAGAGGUGAGUGGAAUUCUCGGUGUAGCGGUGAAAUGCGUAGAUAUCGGGAGGAACACCUGUGGCGAAAGCGGCUCACUGGACCACAACUGACGCUGAGGCGCGAAAGCUAGGGGAGCAAACAGG
rnacentral:rRNA from 1 species